UGUUGGUUCUCCCGCAACGCUACUCUGUUUACCAGGUCAGGUCCGGAAGGAAGCAGCCAAGGCAGAUGCCGCGUGUGCCGGGAUGUAGCUGGCAGGG
rnacentral:SRP_RNA from 1 species